GGAAGAAUUUAGAUUUUCAAGGACUCAGUCUCAAUUCUCUCAAUUGUUUGAUAGCUGAUAUUUUCUCCCUGUGCAGAAAGCCUUGUGAAAUGUUACAGAUUUCUUUUUCUAUUUCACAGUGAAAGUAAGACAGGUGAACCUAAGUGCACAAGUGAAGAACAGCCGGGAUUGUAGAUUCCAUCCUGAAAUGCCCUGGGGUCUGAUUAUGGGAUGCAGGGUCCUCGGAGGGAGCUCUGAGGCCUUAUAAAUGCCGUGUGGCCAUCAGACUAUGCAUAUACACUAGUAAUUUGCAAAUAGGGACUUUCCUUCUCCCAUCCACAAAUUAGAUUUUUGUUUUUUGAAACUAUGAAUAUCAUACCUAUCUGGAAUGAAUGACAUGUAAAAUGGGAAAAAUCAUUUUCUCAACUCUCUGAAAUGUGAAAAUACAGUGAGAUCAACAAAGCGACCGUGUUGUGAAUGCAGUCGUGGGAGUGUAUGUGUGCAAAUGGAUAAAGCCACCUGUGUUGCCACAGAAUGAGUUCUGCUCCCCUUCCACGUGGGGGCCGUACAGCCCUCUGUGUCCCUGCUGUCCUAUUUCCUGGGCUCCCCAACAGCUACUGAGCUGGUGCUUCUGAGAACAGAGAAAGAGUCUGACCUUUGUUAGAAACUUUUGGGCUUCCGAGUGUCAGUGUCUACAUCUGACGGUUUUUUAAAAAGCAAAGUACCAGCGAAUGAAGUGUGACUGAUAUUGACAGACUUCUAAAAUCCCACUAUUUACACUUUCCAGAAUGGAUACUGUUGAGAAAUAAAUGAGAACAGUGUCUCAUCAGUUCUGUUAGACACUCUCACACCAUGUGGAAUGUGAUG
rnacentral:lncRNA from 1 species